rnacentral:rRNA from 1 species
AACGAACGCUGGCGGCAUGCCUAACACAUGCAAGUCGAACGAUACCUUCGGGUCUAGUGGCGAACGGGUGCGUAACGCGAGGGAACCUGCCCUUAGGUUCGGUAUAACUCCCCGAAAGGGGUGCUAAUACCGGACAAUUUCUACUGACCAAAGAUUUCUUUGCUUGUGAUGGGCCCGCGUUGGAUUAGCUAGUUGGUCGCGUAAAGGCCUACCGAGGGUGAGUUCCAUAGCUGGUCUGAGAGAAUGAUCAGCAACCCUGGGACUGUGACACGGCCCAGACUCCUGGGGGAGGAAGAAGGGGGGAAUAUUGGACGACGGGCGAGAGACUGAGGCAGCCAUGUCGCGUGAGUGAGGAAGUCGUUAGGGUUGUAAAGCUCUUUUGACCGGGAUGAUAAUGACGGUACCGGGAGAAUAAGCGACGGCUAACUACGUG